rnacentral:rRNA from 1 species
GACAGAGGAUGCAAGCGUUAUCCGGAAUGAUUGGGCGUAAAGCGUCUGUAGGUGGCUUUUUAAGUCCGCCGUCAAAUCCCAGGGCUCAACCCUGGACAGGCGGUGGAAACUAUCAAGCUGGAGUACGGUAGGGGCAGAGGGAAUUUCCGGUGGAGCGGUGAAAUGCGCAGAUAUCAGGAGGAACACCGGUGGCGAAGGCGGGUCUCUGGGCCGAUACUGACGCUGAGGAGCGAAAGCGUGGGGAGCGAACAGG